CUCUUCGUGCGGUUCAGACGUUUAAAGCGGUACUUUGGUAUUGAGACGUCGACGGCACAACGUGAGGCCGGUAAUACGCAAAGCCUAUUGGUACUACUACCACUGACGCACUGAGUCGUUCGGGAAGCUGUGGAUUAAACAAAGUUUAUCUCCUACAGAUAAAAGCAUAUGCUGCCGGGGGUUCAAUUUUGAUGAAAGGAAAUUGUGCAGAGAAAACAUGCAUUUUGAAACGUCUGCAGCAACAACAACAAAAUAAAGAGAAUAUUGUUAACGAAAAGUAAUGGCAAAAAAGUGCACAAGUCUUGCAGCAAAAAGUGAUCCAAAGAAGAAAGAGAAAAAAUUACCGAAUCUAACAUUUUCCUUUCAAGGCUAAGAAAAUCGACAGCUUAACAAAGAAAACCCAUCAAAUCAAUGGAAAAUAUGAAAUCAUUUUAAAGUGUUUACCACAAAAAAGUAAUAGAGAAAUGUAAAAAAUACAAAGAAUUAUUUAAUAAUAAUUUCCAAAAAGAAAGGAAAAUAGUUUGAAUUUCUUCUUAAAUAAAUACUCAAACAAAAGAAGAAAAUAUUAUUGUGUUUUAUGAAAGUGAAUGAAAAAUAUACACAAAUAAUCAAAUUAGCAACAAUGAAGUGAAUAUGAAUUAAAAAUACUGCAAAAUAAAAAUAAUUGAAAUUAAAAACAAAAAAAAAAUAAUAAGAAA